GACGAACGCUGGCGGCGUGCUUAACACAUGCAAGUCGAGCGGUAAGGCCCUUUCGGGGUACGACGAGCGGCGAACGGGUGAGUAACACGUGGGUGACCUGCCCUCCAGCUCUGGGAUAAGCCUGGGAAACCGGGUCUAAUACUGGAUAUGACUCCAUGACGCAUGUUGUGGGGUGGAAAGCCUUGUGCGGCUGAGGAUGGGCCCGCGGCCUAUCAGCUUGUUGGUGGGGUGAGGCCUACCAAGGCGACGACGGGUAGCCGGCCUGAGAGGGCGACCGGCCACACUGGGACUGAGACACGGCCCAGACUCCUACGGGAGGCAGCAGUGGGGAAUCUUGCGCAAUGGGCGAAAGCCUGACGCAGCGACGCCGCGUGAGGGAUGACGGCCU
rnacentral:rRNA from 1 species